UUUGCUUUCAAAAUGGUACCUUGAACACUGUGUCUUCCUUCAGAUGGGGAUUAACUCUGUAUCCUCAUGUGGCAGAAGGGAAAAGGGUAAACUGACUGCUACUCUCAAGCCCUUUCUUUAUAAGGACACCAGCCAGUCAUGUUCUGGCUUCAUGUCACUAUAUUGUUGGAUUAACAGUGGAAUGUCAGCAUGGAUUUGGGGACAGAAAACAUUCAAACUAUACUUCUAGAAUACACUGAAUUCCACGUAUUGAACCAUCUUUAUAUUCUUGAGUUUGACUGUAGUUGGCAUACUCUUUGAUAACUUGAGAAUUGUUGUGCCAGUUCACAAGGGAAGUGAAGUUGUUGGGUUUUGUUUUUUUUUUUUGUUUGUUUGUUUGGUUUUUUUUUUUUUUUUUUUUGGUUUUAACAAGACAAUAUUGAUAACAAAAUAAGUUAGGCCCCAUUUUCCCCCCAUUCCUUCAUAGAGUUGAUUUGUUAGGAAACAAAAUUAUUUAUCUUGCAGACCAUCCACCAUUAUUGAUUUUCUUCAUUGAUUUUGAUAAUGGUUUCUAUUUAUUUUUCCAACCUCCCUAGUUUCUGUAAACUGAAAGAUGUAGAGGAUUAGUUAGAUUUGGAUGCUAUACUUUUCCCCCAAGAUAACUUAAUAAGCAGGGCCAUACCCAUUUUAUUGUAUCAACUCAUGAGAUACACAUGUAGUUUCUUACAGUGAUCCUGAAGAUGAUCAGGGAAUUCAGAUAGUAUGAUAUGUGCACAAAAUAACCUUUUACCAAAUGCCUUAACAUCAAUCAGUGAUUUUGUUAUUUUAUUGGUAAUUAAAACUGCUUUUCUAAUUUUUUCCACUCUCUUUGUAUUGAUCAAGUGAUUUCCUAGACAAGAAUUUCCAUAGCAUUUUUGAUUGGUCUGUGGGUCUGUUGAGCUUCAUACAGACCUACAAGAGAUCUACUGGGAAACAACAAUGGUUGAAUGGUUGAAACACAUGGAAGAGAGAGUGGUUCCUAAUGAGAAGGUUGAACAGAACCUGUGACCAGGAAGUGUACUGAACAAAUCUUGCCUGGCUUCCUAAAGGAAGCUAUGGAGUUGACUACCUAUUAAGGUGUUCUGGGAUUGGACAGAAAUAACCCAGUCACUCUUCUUACCCUCCUUGCUCAGUCAUUGUCCUAGAGAGGCCUCGUCUUGAAAGUGGUGAAGCUGGGUGUGGUGGGGCAGGCCUACGUGUAGUCUCAGCACUGAGGGAGGCAGAGCCAGAGCCAGAAAGAUCAUAAGUUUGAGGCCAGCCUGGUUUACAUAGCAAUUUCAGUUAAGCCUGGACUGAGAUGAGACCCAGUCUUUAGAAAACAAAGUUGACAAGGAUCCCACAGGUGCUGUGAGCUGAAUAUGUUGGCUAGUUCUCUUCCACACUCUCUGAAUAGUUAGUCUUUUCUCUUGACUUUUGCAUACAAUUGGUAUAUAAUGUAUCUUUGUGUCUAGUCCAGAUGUCCCUUCUCCAAAACAUUGCCCCUUCUUUGCAGCUUACCUUCUUUUUAAAAUAACCCACUGGGUCCAAUUAGUGCUGUUUGCAUUGCAUGGAUGUAGAGCCAUCCACAAGAGCACGGACAACCUUAGCAGCAGCUGUAUCCCUAAAGAAAAAUGACUCCUUCACCAGUUGCCAUUAAUUGCCAGUAGCUCCCAAGGGUUUUUGUUUAUCUGUUUGCUGUUAAACUGUCUUGCUGUAUAACCCAAGCUGACUUUGAACUUGUGGUCCUCCUGUCUUCAGCCUGCAUAGGGCUAGGAUUAUAGACAUACACCACCACACCUGGCCCAGAUGUUUUUAAUCCCUGCUUUGAUGCAGUUGUUAUGAGAUCACAAUAGACAGCUGUGUUGACCAUUCAGGUAUCAAGCCAGAAUCCUCCCUCAGCCUCCUAUGUACUAGGAUUACAUUUGUUUGCCAUCAUACCUGACAGUUAACUGUAGUUCUUAUAAUAAAAUGCCAAGUCAUUUUUUUGAAGGGCUAUGUACACGUUGUGUGUACGUGGAUCUACAUCUUGAGUUACAAUUUAUAAAUAAGAGGCACAAUACAAUCUUUUUAAAUUUUAUUUAUUUAUUUUAUGUAUUUUAUGAGUACACUGUAGCUAUACAGAUGGUUGUGAUCCAUCAUUUGGUUGCUGGGAAUUGAAUUCAGGACCUCUGCUCACUCUAGCCCAAAGAAUUAUUUAUUAUUAUAUGUAAGUACACUAUAGCUUUCUUCAGACACACCAGAAGGGGGUGUUAGAUUUCAUUAUGAAUGGUUGUGAGCCACCAUGUGGUUGCUGGAAUAUGAACUCAGGACCUUCGGAAGAGCAGUCAGUGCUCUUAACUGCUGAACCAUCUCUCCAGCCCAGGCACAAUACACUAUUUGUAGCAACUUCUAAUGAUAAUGAUUCAUUUUAGAAUUAGUAAGAAUAUAUCAUAUGAGUUUUGGAAUUUUUUAAAGGUUUUUUUUGUUGUUUUUGUUUGUUUGUUUGUUUGUUUUUGUUUUUUUACUGUAUAGACUUGGCUGUCCCAUAAAUGGCUAUGUAGAACGCUCAAACUCACAAAGAUGUGUGUGCCUUUGCCUCUCAGGUCCUGUGAUUAAAGGUAUACACCACCAUACCUGGCUGAAUUUUGGAAAUUAUAAUGGACUUCAGUUAACUGUAGUCAUUAUUAUUUUUAAUAGAUAGGUUAUUCUUGAACUAAUAAUAGCAGUUUUAAGGCUCAGCCCACUUAGAAGGUAUGGGUAGGAGGGUCAAGAGUUAAAGGCUAGUCUCAGCUGCAUAGCUAGUUCAGGGCCAGCUUGGAAGACAAAAGGGCCUGUCUUAAAAUAGUUAAAACGGGAUGUGGAAGCCCUUACAAAACUGUUCCUGUUUUCCUAUUCAUUAUGGGACAUGUCAGACACAUUAAGAAGUACAGAGCAGCAUUUAAUAACCACAUGCAUCACAAAUCUUUGACAGUUAUUUGCUGGACCAAUUGUAUAUUCAUAGAUUAUUUAAGAAUUACCAGCUGUCAGGUAAUUUUGAGGGAUAUUGUCAUGAUUAACUAAUGACAUCACCGUCAGUGUGGCAUUACAUCGUCCCCUCUACUGUCCUGCAGUCCUUGCACUGGGGCUGCAUCUCAUCCCUUGAAUUCACCUUGUCUACUCAGGGCAUGCUUUCUAGCCACAAGAUGUUGUCAGCUUUCCUUUUUUCCUUUUUAUUUCAUGAAAUCCUUCUGGAAACUGUAUUACAUCCAAAAAAUUAUACUCUUUCCUAAGGAUUUCCCUUUAAGCUAAACCCAUUGCAAAUUUAGUUUACCAUAUUGCAAGGUAAGUUAUGUUCCAUUUUCCAGUAGAAUAUUCACACAGGAUAUUUUCUCUUGCCAGAACCAAAGCCCAGAUCAAAUUUAAAUCAUGAAGGGUGGGCUCACAAAACUGGAGAGGGAGAGCGAGAGGGAGAAAGCAGAUCCAAAGCUGCUUGAGCAGCUUACCUUAGUUAUCAAGAGCCCAUUUUGCCAGUUGGAGACCAUCGCCCAAGCAACAAAUAUUCUCUCCUAAAAACAAGGCCUCCAUUGUAGGAGGAGAAAACGCAUCCGAACAGUUUCACCUGCCUUUCCUCGUCCUCCUUACAUGACAAACAUGGAGAGCUUUUGAGAGAACUGAAUGAGAGACUUGUAAAAGACUGUGCCUCCUGUUCUUUCCUGCAUCUGGGAAAUGGGCAGUGACAGCGAUUGGAACAGUGGGCAGCUGGGACCAGGAGUGCUUUGACAACGGACAAAAAGGCUGGCAGGACACUGGCCCCGUGGGUCAAGGUGCUAUUAUCUUCUCUCCGGACCUCUCUGUACAUUACAGUGGCUCUUAAGAUGGACCGCUUGCUUAUGUAUAGAGGAAAUAGGCCUCCAGUACAGGCCUGUAAUUCUAGCUACUCGGGAGAGAGACAGGUUCAAGGUCUGGGGGGACAAUGUGAGAUCAAGACCAUCCUGGGAAACUUAGAGCCUAUCUCAAAUACAAUACAGUAAGAAAACAACACUGAAAGAAAAGAGUGAGAGGGAGCCCAGGUGCAUGGUGCUCCUGGUUUAGUCCCUAGGACUGCUACCUAUCCUGCAAGAAACCUCUUGUGGUUUUAAACCUUUGUUCUUGACUCUGCACACAGGGCUGGAACGUGCCAGGCAUGUGCUCUAGCACUUAGCUGCAUCCAUUAUCUUGUCGGGCUUUCUGAUGUACACAAUCUAUCAUUUCCUGAUAGAGUAGCUUUCAAUGUAUAUGGACCAGAAACUCCUUUAUGUCUGCUUUCAUCCUACUGAAGUACAAUCUCUAUGUGUUGCCAUAUUCAAGUGUUUUGAUGAAUUUUGCACUCAUUUGACUUCUAACAUGAUCAAGAUACAAACUAUUUUCCACAUCCAGUCUUAGUGACCCCAGUUGGUUCUCCCCAGCUCUGCUCAGUGACUGGCGAUCUGCUUUCUGUCACUACAGGUCAGACGUGUUUUCCUAGAGCCUUACAUAAAUGUGAUGGUGCAAUAUUUACUCUCUUUUGUGUCUGGUUUCUUUCAUUCAGUAUUCUGUUUAAGAUUCAUCCGUGGAUGAAAAUGGCAUAAUGAAACCCGUUAUUUUGUAUCUUCACUUAAAGAAAAAAUAGACUCUGAGAAUCUGGUUCUGGGGGGAGGGGCAUAAGAUCAAAUACAUUGUACAAAAAAAUCUUCAAAGUAAACUCAUGGUUAUUUC
rnacentral:lncRNA from 1 species